UGUUGGAAGGGUGGCUAAUGGGGCGAUAAAAUUGGAACGAUACAGAGAAGAUUAGCAUGGCCCCUGCGCAAGGAUCUAAAGUGAACUUGACAUGUAUGUAAUGAUUUA
rnacentral:snRNA from 1 species